rnacentral:rRNA from 1 species
UACGUAGGGUGCGAGCGUUGUCCGGAUUUAUUGGGCGUAAAGAGCUCGUAGGCGGUUUGUCGCGUCGGCCGUGAAAUCUCCACGCUUAACGUGGAGCGUGCGGUCGAUACGGGCAGACUUGAGUUCGGUAGGGGAGACUGGAAUUCCUGGUGUAGCGGUGAAAUGCGCAGAUAUCAGGAGGAACACCGGUGGCGAAGGCGGGUCUCUGGGCCGAUACUGACGCUGAGGAGCGAAAGCGUGGGGAGCGAGCAGG